rnacentral:rRNA from 1 species
UACGUAGGGUGCAAGCGUUGUCCGGAAUUAUUGGGCGUAAGAGCUCGUAGGCGGUUGUCGCGUCGAAUGUGAAACUCGGGCUCAACUCCGAGCUUGCAUUCGAUACGGCAGGCUAGAGUUCGGUAGGGAGAAUGGAUUCCGUGUAGCGGUGAAUGCGCAGAUAUCGGAGACACCGUGCGAGCGGUUCUCUGGCCGAUAUCGACGCUGAGAGCGAAGCGUGGGAGCGAACAG